rnacentral:rRNA from 1 species
UUGGGGAAUUACUGGGCGGUAAGCGCACGCAGGCGGUCUGUCAAGUCGGAUGUGAAAAAAAAGAGGCUCAACCUGGGAACUGCAUUCGAAACUGGCAGGUCUGAGUCUUGUAGAGGGGGGUAGAAUUCCAGGUGUAGCGGUGAAAUGCGUAGAGAUCUGGAGGAAUACCGGUGGCGAAGGCGGCCCCCUGGACAAAGACUGACGCUCAGGUGCGAAAGCGUGGGGAGCAAACAGGAUUAGAUACCCUGGUAGUCCACGCCGUAAACGAUGUCGAUUUGGAGGUUGUGCCCUUGAGGCGUGGCUUCCGGAGCUAACGCGUUAAAUCGACCGCCUGGGGAGUACGGCCGCAAGGUUAAAACUCAAAUGUAUUGACGGGGGCCCGCACAAGCGGUGGAGCAUGUGGUUUAAUUCGAUGCAACGCGAAGAACCUUACCUGGUCUUGACAUCCACAGAACUUUCCAGAGAUGGAUUGGUUGCCUUCGGGAACUGUGAGACAGGUGCUGCUUGGCUGUCGUCAGCUCGGUGUUGUGAAAUGUUGGGUUUAAGUUCCCGCAACGAGCGCAACCCCUUAUCCCUUUGUUGCCA